AAACACUUCUCAUCAAACCGAAAGUCAAAUUCUCUCAGACAUUUUGUUGAAGCUCAACAUUGGAGGACAUUUUACAUCGACUGCAGUGUGUUUUCAGUCACGAGCAAGAACAUCCACAACAACUUCAAUCUCUCACUCUCGGUCUGAAUACUCUCCCGCAAUAUUCAAAGGUCAAGUCUAUUAGGAGGCUUUACUGUGCGUUUCGAUCUUCUCAGUACAGACUUCUCCGAUUUCUCCUCAGGAUUUGACCAUCCUCUGUCCUGACUGUGUAAGAUCUUGGGUUCACCUCCUCCAGGACUGUGGCUCUUUUAGUCCAGACCCAGGUCUUCACAUGCCUUGUCUCCCAACACAGAAUCAUGGCCAUCUGGAACAA